GUGAUUUAUUUUUUGUUUGCUAAUUUCUUCCAUUUUGCACGGGUACUUAUGUAUAGACCGUCUAAAGAUGUUAAGAGACAUCUCUUUUCAAUCUAACUAAAUAUAGCAUCUACAUAAUAAGAAACACCAUGACAUACAAGUCUACUGCAACUUAGAAUGUAUUUAAUUGUUUACCUUCUCUUCCCUCAAGUAUAAUGAGCUUCUACUGCCUGUCAGAAAUUUCAUUUAUACAACUCAACAAUAAGACAUGUUGGGAUCACAGCAUCUGCCAAAAUUAUUGUCGUACAAUUAUUUGCAUAGUCAUGCAAAAUACUGAAGGAAAUGGGAAUGCAAAAUUAUUAUACUUGAAAAAAUGCUUCCAAUUUUCAGGAGAAGUGCUGGUCAGCUUUAGGACAGCCAUCAUUAGUUCAGACGGAGUCCUGCAGCAGUGGAGACCAGAGGAUCCUGAUCCAUGUGGGUGGAAAGGGGUACAAUGCGAUCCCAACUCGAAGAGAGUUAUAACCUUGUGAGUUCCACAAUGUUUCGAGAUUUCUUAAAGACAAUUUUUUUGUGACAUAUAUGUAGGGGCUUGGAAUGUACAAAGCUUUAAUGCUUAUAUGACUACGUUAACAAACGUAAUAUUUUUUUUUCUUCUCUCUUUUUGUUCUGUCUUCAUUUCUCUUUUGUAAAGUCCUCAAAUAAUGUCACUUGCCUGAAAUAAGCAGUUUCUGGUAUGUUAGCUAAAUGAAUAAUUAUCCCAUUUCUCAAACAACUACACAUGAAAUUUAUUGUUAUAAAACUUCAGAAAUCUGAUAAAAGACAAUUACUUCCAUACAUGAUAUUCCUAUAACAUUGUUAGUAUUACUUACAUAGACUAGAGUACACCAUUUUGCAAGAACAUAGAUAUACAUCCAUUCUAUAGCACUUCUAAGUAAAUGGAGUAUUGAAAUUUAAGAUUCAAUUUCAAUAUCAAAUUUAUCAUCUGGACGCUAACAUGAAGAAAGUACUCUUUUAACUUGAGAGCUGAUCCAACAAUCAAUUUAUGAAACAAUUUUUUAAAUCCAAUUUUGGUUUAGCUAAGAAAAUUGAUACAAAUAUAAGUUAAAGUCAAUAAUCAAUUUUAAUGCAUUUCGCGGGACCCACAACUUAAUCAUACAUUUCAUCAACUUUGAUAAAAGUUUACCAAAAAUUUGAUUUUUAGCUAAACUAAACAGGGGCAUAUGGUUUCUUUCUUUUCCUCUUUUCUUUCCUUAAAAUUUACAAUGCGAUAAUAUUUUGCCUCUUUUUUGAAUUAGAAUUUUUUCCAAAGUUAUUGAAAUUUCAAGCUUUGGAUAUCAGGAAUGUGCACCUGGUUUGAUGGACAGUAGUUUUUAUGCAGAAAUUUACUUCUAAUAAUUGGUAUCACUAAAUGUCCAGGAGCCUCCCCAACCACAAGUUUAGUGGACCUAUAUCACCAGAUAUCGGGAAGCUAGAAAGUCUGCAAUUUCUGUAUGUUUCUUUUUCUUGUUCUUUCCCAUCUAUUGCUAUACCUUCUAUUGAUACUGUGAUAAUUAUAUGUUUGUAGAGCUCUUCAUGACAACAAUUUAUACGGGUCAAUCCCUCCAGAAUUGGGAAAUCUUACAAGGUUGCAGUCAAUGUAAGUAUAAUAGGGAAACUAUUUGUUUGAAGUUGACCAUAAUGUCAAUAUUGCUGACAAGCUCGUGUUCAGUAAUUUGAUCCCGAGGAUAUAAUCUAAAACAUGGUAUUUAUGCAUCACAAAGUAUUUGAGAUGCCUAAAUCUUAAUUCUUUUAAUCAUUUAUUAAUAUCUGCUCUGGAAUUUCCUGCAAAGAACGGUUGCAGUUAAUAUAAAACUUCUAAAGGGAUUGGUUACAAUUUAUGACGACGCUAACAUCUCAAAAAAUAUGAUAGCUGCUUUGCAGUCAUUGAAUACUUUGUCAUAAACAGAUAAUGCCUCAUGCUAAGGUAAAGUUGGUAUCUCUAUUGACUGCGUUUCGUUCAUUUAUAGAGGAAAGAGUAAAAAGUUAUAUGUAUUUCUCAAAAAGAAGCUCUAUUAGUCAUGGUCUUGGGGUUGCACUGGUUCCGCAUCUGCCUUGUACUGUAAUAUUUUUUCCAAUGUCUUUUUGCCCAAUGAACAGAGACGUGUCUGUUUGAUUUGACUCAAGAUAAUUAUUAGUCUGAGUUUUAUACAAAUUAUUGAGUGAUAGCUGUAUGAGAAAAAAGGAUGAUACAUUGUUGCUUCUUUUUCUAAUUCAUCACUGUUGUUUUCUCUUUUUAGUUUUCUGUGUCAUGUGAGGAAUUCUUGAUUCUCCUUUAUACAGAUUUUUGCAGGGUAACUACUUGAGUGGAUUUAUUCCGAGUGAACUGGGGAACCUUUCUCAGCUUGAGAAUCUGUAAGUAAUUUUACCUAGUAUGACUCCUCCCUAUUUCUUUGUAAGACAUCUACAGAUAUUGUUCUUUUACUUGGGUAUGUGGAUGAUAUUGUUAUCGCUGGCACAGAUUCUGGUUUGAUAACUCAACUCCAGCAGCACCUACAGGCUUCCUUUCACAUGAAGAAUCUUGGUCCUCUAACAUAUUUUUUGGGCUUGGAAGUACACACUGAUUCCACAGGUAUAUUUUUGAACCAACACAAAUAUAUUCAAGACUUGAUCACUUUGGCUGGUCUUCAAGAUUCUUCAUCCGUCGAUACUCCUCUGGAAGUCAAUGUUAAAUAUCGUCGUGAAGAGGGUGAGCUCCUUCCUGAUCCGACUAUCUUUCGUCAAUUAGUUGGGAGCCUCAACUACUUGACCAUCACUAGGCCUGAUAUAUCAUUCGCAGUCCAGCAAGUCAGUCAGUUUAUGCAAACUCCACGACAUCUUCAUCUUGUGGCAGUUCGUCGCAUCAUUCGGUAUCUCCAAGGUACUCCUCAUCGUGGAUUUUUUUCCCUUCUGGGUCUCCUAUUCGUCUUGUUGCAUUUAGUGAUGCAGAUUGGGCCGGUUGCCCUGAUACUCGUCGUUCCAUUAUGGGUUGGUGUAUGUUUCUUGGUAAUUCUUUGAUCUCUUGAAAGAGUAAAAAGCAGGCAUGUGUGUCUAAAUCUUCAACUGAAUCCGAAUACCGUGCCAUGUCCGCUGCCUGUUCUGAGAUUAUGUGGCUUCGUGGGCUUCUAGCUGAACUUGGCUUUCCUUAGUCUGAUCCUACACCCCUUCAUGCGGACAACACGAGUGCUACUCAGAUUGCUGCAAAUUCAAUAUAUCAUGAGCGUACAAAGCAUAUCGAAGUAGAUUGUCACUCAAUUUGAGAUGCUUUUGACACAAAUAUUAUUUCUCUUCCGUAUAUCUCUAUUGAUCUACAGAUUGCCGACAUAUUCACCAAAGCCAUGACACGACAACGUUAUUUCUUUCUUGUGGGCAAAUUGAUGCUUCUUGAUCACCCAGCAUCAAUUUGAGGGGGGAUGUCAAUUAGAUAGAAAGAGUAAUUAACGCCAGAAUUAGAGAUGCUUUGUAUAGCUUUGUAUAAUAGUUGUAAUUGGUAGAAAAUUGCUCAGUUUCCAUUCAUGUACAGUGAUAGCUAACAUUCAGCUAUGUAAUUUGCCUUAUUAUUCGUAUAUAUACAAAGGAACCCUCACAAUGAGGAUUAUCGAGUCAAAAGGAUAAAUUGAAUACCUUGACAAUAGUUCUCUCUUUCUUCCUUCACACGCUCUCAUAAUUACACUGUUUCAUAAGCCAUUCAACAAAUUAUAUUUAGGUUUCAAAAUAAUAGGUUGUAGAUUUAAAGUCUACCAUUCUAUAAUAUAUGUGCAAUUUUGAAUCUUAAUUUUCGAGAACAUGCUUUUAGAGUGACCAAUAAAUGUAUGAUGGGUGUUAGAGAAGUAUCCAGUGAGGCAAAUGCAUUGAAUUUUCAAUUUAAAUAUGAACAUGCUGAAAGGAUUGUCUGACACAAACACUCUGCCUUAUUGGAAAUUUCCGUUCCUUUAGUUUUCUUCAAUCAAUGUUAACAUAAUUCUGCAGUUGAUGGUGCUUAAUUUGAAAAUGAAGUAAAAAGAUUUAAUGCUUUAUGAAUGGCACAGCCUCAGAUCUCAUAAUUAGGAAUUUAAAAAGAAAGAAUGGAAGCCACAGAGAUGUGACUGUGGGCUCGUUGAAUGGAAAUUACUUUACUCGAGGCUACAUUUCUGUUAGAAGGCCAUGCCUGAAAUUCAAUGGUGUUUCUGUUGCUCUGAUUAUUAUGAUAAUUGUUUUGUUCAGUCAGGAAAACUAUUUGUUAGAUCACAUCAAUUACAUUCCAUGGGUCCUCAGGCGGGGCAGUCUUAUAUGAAUAAUUGACUAUUAAAGUUCAUUCAUGGCAUAUUUUAUCUGAAAAAACAUCAAUAUGGCAGAUGAAGUUCUGUUGCAUUUGUUUUGAAUUUUGUGAAUUAUGAGUAGGAAAAGUUGGUUUCCUACACAAACGCGAGGGUUCAAUUUGUGAGCAUAAUGCGGUGAUUGAUUGCUUUUGCCAACCAGGGUGAACAGUUCAUUGACCCUAUCGAUAUUUGAUCUGUCAUAUUGAACAUUUAAAACAAAUUUCAUGCUCUGUAGAGCACAACUUGUGGUUGCAUAGCCCAAGAACUUGACUGCUACCGAUCAUGACCCCACCAUGCAUUUAUCAUAAAUACAAAAAGGUCUCUUUUUCAUGUGCAUCCACUUGCUGCCGUCUUGAAAAUUCCUUUGAUGCAUAUAACCAGAGAAUAUAAAUGUGAAGAUUUUUUCUUCUAUUCCUUAAUUAUAAAUAUUUAAAAAUAUUACUUUUGUUUCCCGGGGGAUCUGAAGUGGCUGCCAUGUGGCUUUUGUUGACUUGAUAACUGCAUGAUCAGAGGAAUAUUAUGGAGCUUUGUGCAUAGAUGCUAUGUAGUGACCUUGUUUUGCCUGAUUAGAGCUACAAUGGGCAGCUUCCGCAUGAAUUUCCAGCAACCAUUGCUUUUAUGUACUCUAUUGCUUCACGCUUUGGCAAAAGAAACUGAGGCUCUCAGUCCUGAUGGUAUGGUGAUUUAUUUUUUGUUUGCUAAUUUCUUCCAUUUUGCACGGGUACUUAUGUAUAGACCGUCUAAAGAUGUUAAGAGACAUCUCUUUUCAAUCUAACUAAAUAUAGCAUCUACAUAAUAAGAAACACCAUGACAUACAAGUCUACUGCAACUUAGAAUGUAUUUAAUUGUUUACCUUCUCUUCCCUCAAGUAUAAUGAGCUUCUACUGCCUGUCAGAAAUUUCAUUUAUACAACUCAACAAUAAGACAUGUUGGGAUCACAGCAUCUGCCAAAAUUAUUGUCGUACAAUUAUUUGCAUAGUCAUGCAAAAUACUGAAGGAAAUGGGAAUGCAAAAUUAUUAUACUUGAAAAAAUGCUUC
rnacentral:lncRNA from 1 species